GGGCCACAAAAUUUUUGUCCAAAAUUAAAACAUCUUAAACAUAUGCAUAUCGUCCCUUAUAUAGGCCUUUGAAGCCUAUAACACACAUGUUAUAAAACGAGGUCCCUAUACAUGCCACUCACUUGAUAUUUCUAAUAUUUAAAUUAAUUCUCCCAAAAGUGAUAGCUUGAUAGUGUGAUUCUGUCUCCGACGAUCUCCAACCCCGAGCCGACCUGCCAAUACUAAAUAAAUGGAGAGGAGGGGUAAGCUUUACGCUUAGUAAGUCCAUAUGAAAUUAAUAAGCAAUUACUAACAUACUUUUCAAGAUAAAACACUAUAAUUGUACAAUUACACAUGUUCAGGUUAAACUGUUUUAUCAAGUUACAGUUACUAAAUAAUUUAUAUCUGGAUCUAAGAAACUCCAAAUUAAGUUCCGUUAAUUUUUCUUGAAACUAGACUCAUAUACCUUUCUCCAAUAAAAUUUUCAGAAUUUUUUGCUUAGCCAAUUAGUACAGUUUAUUCAUUAAAGUUUCCCCUGUUUCAGUGUUCAUCUACUCUGACCUCUGUUCACUACGAAUCAAUUUUCUCUCUGUACAGAAUUCAAAGGACUAUGAUGUUUAUUUAUCUUAAAAAUAGACUCAAUAAGGAAUAUAUAAAUGUAAAUUAUAACUCCUAAUUAUUUUUUCACAAUUUUUAGUGAAUUUCUCAAAUAGGAACAGGGGAUCUCGAAGUCAUCCAGACUCUGUCUCACAACAAUUUAAAUAUCUCAUAACAUAAAAUUCAAUUGCAUAUACCGUUUCCUCUCUGUGAAACUAGACUCUUUUGGCUUUAAUCUCAUGUUUUAUUCAGCCCCUAACUCAAUUUUCAAAAUUUAUGGUGAAUUUCCAAAGUUGCAUCAUUGCAGUAACCCAAAACUGCCAAGGCUAAAUUUACUCAAUCACAACUAUUAUUCACUAAAUCCAUACAAUAUCAUUUCAUCCAUCAUGGAAAGAACACAUAAUUAUGCUUCACAGGCAUAGACCCAUAAUCUCAAUGUCAUCAAGUAUCAAGACUUAUUCCUCAUCAUGUCAUUUUCAUAGUAUUCACCAAUACUAUAUACAUCAUAUAUCAAGGCAUCACACAUAAGUUUAGUGUAUAUACCCGUACAACUUGUAAUUUAACUAAAGAACAUACUCACCAAUGGCUUGUCUCAUUAGGACCAUUAUCGAAUACUUCGUCAAAUUAUCCGUUGAACACUCGGAAUAUAAUCGGAUACACGGAAUGCAUGCACAUAAGUGCCAUGCCCACAGCUAGACAAACUCAAUAGCCUGCGGAAUAUAUGUGUUGCCAAGCUACCAUGUAAACCACCCAUAAGUGAACUCGGACUCAACUCAACGAGCUCGGGCGUUCACAUCCAUAAGUGAACUCGGACUCAACUCAACGAGUUCGGAUGCCUAGUUACAUCUCACGAACUCGGACUCAACUCAACGAGUUCGAAACUCAAAUAUCCUAGUGACAUGUCACUUGUAUCCUAAUCUAUUCCUAAGGUUCAAACGGGAUUUUUCCUCGAUCAUAUGCCUUUGCCAUCUUUCUCGUGAUGUCAAUAUCAAUACUCCGGUGGCAACUCAUAUUUUUCAAGUAUUCCACAUAAUUUGUAUAAUAAUUCAACAAUAAUCAUAGCAUGCAACAAUUCGUAAAUAAUAAUCAUCAUACCAUUAUAAAUACAUCAACAACAUAUAGUAAUGUUACAUCAUUUACAUAAUAUCAAAUUAUUCACAUAUAUGUAUACUUACAAUUCAUAUAAUAUCAUAACAUUAACAUUAAAAUAUACAUUGCAUUAUUAAAAUCAUAUGAACUUAACUCGUAUGCGAAAAUGGUCAUUUUUACCAUUUUGUCCACAACUUGGUAUUUUGCCGAUUUUAGCCUGAAUUUCGAUUUUCCUUGUUCUAUCAUUUCAAAUAUAUCCUAAUUAGGACUUAUAUUAUUCAAAUCGACCCAAAAUCAUAUUUUGGCAAAAUUAAAAUUUUGCCCCUAAACUUUCACAUAUUUACACUUUUUCCCAAAAUCUCGUAAAUUAAACUUCACCCUAUUUUCUUAUGUUUUAUGACAUGCUGAUCAUUUUUCCCUUCUAUAGAAACAUCCAAUUCUCACCCUAACAUGUAUUUAUGAACAUUAGGUAUUUUUACCGAUUAUGUCAUUUUACUCGUUUUCACGUAAAAUUGCUUAGCAAAAGUCGUUUAUCUAACACCCAACCUUCAUUUUCUAUCAUUAGACAUCAAAACACAUGCAUAUUAUUCAUGGGUAAAUUUUUAGACAUGAACCUUAGCUCAAAUUAAUGGUAGAAAUAAAUAGAACAAGUUACUGGGAUUUCAAAAAUAUAUAGAACAUUAAAAACGGAGCUCGGAAUCACUUACUAUUAAGCUUGGAAGCUUGGCCAAACUCUAACCAUG
rnacentral:lncRNA from 1 species